UCUGGGUGAGGGUAUCGCAAACAGAUUUGCAUACGUCACUCCCGGCUUAAUUUCGCGGGUGCCGUGAACAGAUUUGCGUCCGUCACUUCCGCCAAGUGGUGAACGUAAGUGUUCCAUUUGAGACAGACUCAUCAGCCACGCAGUGCACUGCAAUACAGUGCACUGAAUUGUAGUGCACUGUAUUGCAGUGUACUUCGUAAAGUGUGCGGUUGUAGACAUAGCCACGGUGAAAAUGUCGCGCCCUUUCUUGUGAUUGGCUGUUUUUCCCCGCGUGGGGGGGACGGCAGAGUGACGUCGGAGGGGCGGACCAGCGUCAAGGACAAGGCGCGUGGACCUUUAAACAGACAGGCAGAGAACAGGCACCGAUGAAGGAUGAAGGAUUAAACACCACCAGCAAGAGAAUAUGCAUCGACGAAGACGCCUAAAUCCAAAGGCUGAUGCCAACUUUUACAUUGAUACUGGAGGGGACAAAGUGGGACUUGACAUCAAAUACAUCAAUGCCUUCAAAGGUCGUGGCAUCUUCACCUCUGCUCUAUUUGAAGGGGGAGAAUUUCUGUUGGAAUAUAGAGGUGAACUAAUAAACCAGCAAGAAUGUGAACGGAGACAGAGACUUCAUCACGACUGCCUGAAGGUGUUCAUGUUCGAGUUCCUUUUUAAUGGAAAACUAUGGUGUUUUGAUGCAGCAAAAGAGGAUGGGUCGCUUGGAAGACUUGUGAACGAUAAUAAUGUCAACCCCAAUGCCAAGAUGAAGUACCUAAACAUACAAGGGAAGCCCCAUCUGUGUUUGUUUGCAACACGAGACAUCAGUCAAGGAGAGGAGGUCACCUAUAAUUAUGGUGACUCGGAUUGACCGUGGAGAUGCAAGAAAUCUAAAGGAAAGUCUUCGGACGGGGAGCACGGUGAGGGUCCAUCUACAUCCGAGCCUUCGAAGUGUACUCAAAAGGUUUCAACAAGUAAGAGGCAAGAAAAGAGAUCUCCAGGUGCAUCAACUAGUCUGCUCAAAAGAUAUGAAAAGGUAAGUCAUAUUAGUAGUUUUAUGUUUUAUGCUACAUAUUACGGGUGUAAAUUCCUCCGCCAACAUCUUUCUACACAUGAUUUAUUUUUUGUUCACGAGACGCAGCUUCCUCGGCCUCGCCGCCGUGCCCCGACCGACCGGGCAACAACCAAUCAGAGCAGAGGAUCCUCUCACUGCCCGUUCAGGAGCUAUGACCUCAUUCUGUGACAAACUCGUGUUUAACUUUAAAAGCUUACAUUUCCCCGUUUCUGUUUCGGUCUCAACCAAUGUUACAGCCCUCGACACAUGACAACACGUUAACGCUGAGAGCAUCUCUCUUCUCUCACUCCGGUUGGCUCAGUGGGAGAAUCCAUCUCUGGCUCGUCUGCCAGGAUUCAGACUGGGCUUGAGUCAGGGCCUCACAUGGAGCGGCUCACUGCUGAGCCUCCAGCAGUCGUUGUUUCUGUGAUGUCACUUCAGAUGUGCGUGGGUAUGUUUGUUCAACAUGUUUGGUCUCAUGAUGGCGUUUCAUGCACUGUAAAAUGUAAUAAGUUGACUUUACUUGAAAAAGGUGAGGAAACCGAUUGCCUCAACAUUUCUAAGUAAAGCAGCUCAAUAUUUUUAAGUUCUUAAAGCUAAAAGAAACUAAGUUUAGGCAACUCAUGUAUUUGCAGUAAACAUUAGUAUAGUUAACUUAACAAUUAUUAGUUAGGUUAACUUAAAAAAGACAACUUAAAAGAUCCAAGUUAUAUUAAGUAAACAGUACUAAUAAGAACUAGUUCACUUUACAAGUCAAUGAGAUCACAUUACUUAGAAAUAGUGAGGAAACCGAUUGCCUUAAAAUGAUCAAGUAAGCUGAACUAAAAACUGUAAGUUGUUGAAACAAAAGAAGGAGAACAGUUACAAUGGAAGACAACGUUUAUGUAGAAGAAGAACACAUGUUUUAAAACUCAAACAACGUGCUCGACAAAUUUCCCCUUGGGGAUUAAUAAAGUAUAUAUCUAUCUAUCUCUAUCUAAAAACGCUGAACAUGUUGCCAGAUUAGGUUUUGCAACGCAGAAAUAUGAUGAACACAGCGUUUUCGGCAUUUGCUAAAUUCCACGACAGAAAAACAACAAAAACAGACAUUUUCUAUAAAAGAGUUCUAUUGGAGAUAGAAGGGUGAAGUUCUCGGGCCUGACUGCACAUCAUGAACAGUCCCUCACGGCAUCAGUAGAUUUUUGAGUGAUUGUAUUUCAGGGUUUUUGGUCCAAGUGAGAAGCACUCUAUGAAUAAAUUCAGAAGGUGUUCCUCA